rnacentral:rRNA from 1 species
GAUGAACGCUAGCGGCAGGCCUAAUACAUGCAAGUCGAACGAGAUUAAGAGGCUUGCUUCUUAUGAAAGUGGCGCACGGGUGCGUAACGCGUAUGCAACCUACCUUAAUCAGGGGGAUAGCCCGAAGAAAUUCGGAUUAAGACCGCAUAAAAACACAGGAUAGCAUUAUCCAAUGUUCAAAUAUUUAUAGGAUUAAGAUGGGCAUGCGUGUCAUUAGCUAGUUGGCGGGGUAACGGCCCGCCGAGGCGACGAUGACUAGGGGAUCUGAGAGGAUGACCCCCCACACUGGUACUGAGACACGGACCAGACUCCUACGGGAGGCAGCAGUAAGGAAUAUUGGUCAAUGGAGGGAACUCUGAACCAGCCAUGCCGCGUGCAGGAAGACAGCCCUCUGGGUCGUAAACUGCUUUUAUUCGGGAAUAAACCUUUCUACGUGUAGGAAGCUGAAUGUACCGAAGGAAUAAGGAUCGGCUAACUCCGUG